rnacentral:rRNA from 1 species
AACGAACGCUGGCGGCAGGCUUAACACAUGCAAGUCGAGCGCCCCGCAAGGGGAGCGGCAGACGGGUGAGUAACGCGUGGGAAUCUACCGUGCCCUACGGAAUAGCUCCGGGAAACUGGAAUUAAUACCGUAUACGUCCUACGGGGGAAAGAUUUAUCGGGGUAUGAUGAGCCCGCGUUGGAUUAGCUAGUUGGUGGGGUAAAGGCCUACCAAGGCGACGAUCCAGAGCUGGUCUGAGAGGAUGAUCAGCCACAUUGGGACUGAGACACGGCCCAAACUCCUACGGGAGGCAGCAGUGGGGAAUAUUGGACAAUGGGCGCAAGCCUGAUCCAGCCAUGCCGCGUGAGUGAUGAAGGUCUUAGGAUUGUAAAGCUCUUUCACCGAUGAAGAUAAUGACGGUAGUCGGAGAAGAAGCCCCGGCUAACCUCGUGCCAGCCGCCGCCGUAACAC